CUCUCUCUUAAAAUUGAGAUUUUUUUUUUUUUUUUUUGAGAAGGUGAUAAGAUUGUGGGUAUGUUCUCCACAGGCUUUCUUGAACUGUGAACUUGGAUGGAUUUUUUUUUUUUUUUUUUUCACUCUGAAGCCCCUCUACUUUUCCUUAAUUAUAAAUUAUAUCAUGUUGAGGAAACAUAAAAAGAGUAGAGAGAGAGAUCCAUAAACUUGUUGAUGGUUCAAGAAAGUCCUUGGAAAACAUAACAUAUCUUAUGGGGAAAAUCCAAGGAAAACAAAAAAAAAGAGCGAUGCCGGUAAUAGUUUUUGCAGCUUUUUGGGUCCGCAACAAGCGGGGGGGCCAAAAAGAGGAACUGGGAAAAGACGGGUUAAAGGAGGAAUGUGGGGAAAAAGCAUAAAAACACACACACACAUCUCAUGCGGGGUUCUGAAUCAAGAAGCACUUUGCCCCCUUGCAAUCACAGACAAUGGAUUGGAUGGUUGGAGCCACAAACCCGAACUCUGUUGACUUAAAUGGGCCAGCAUCUUAUCUUAUGGCGAGAGGUCAUUGUUGGGCCGCGUCAUGUUCGAAAUAACGUAAGGCUAGAUGGGUCGAGUCAUGUUCGAAAUGACGUAAGGCUAGAUCGGUCGAGUCACAAUCGAGAUCCGUGAGUGCUGUAUCUCUACGCUUUAAGUCAAUUGGUUACGUAUUUAUAACAGCUCAAGCUUUUGGGAUUAA